rnacentral:tRNA from 1 species
GGGAGUGUAGUUCAAUGGUAGAAUGAUUGCCUAGCAUGCAGGGUCCUGGGUUCCAUGCCAGCACUGCCA